rnacentral:lncRNA from 1 species
GUGCUAAAACUUGGUGAACCCUUACUCGACUGUCCUACGGAUGAAUCCUUUCUCCUCAAGUUUCUACGAGCUAGAAAGUACGACGUGCAGAGCACCUUCAA